rnacentral:lncRNA from 1 species
ACCAAAUCCAGAGCUAUCAUUUCUACUUUGUGAGAAACAGGGUGUGAUCUGGGGUUCCCAGACCACAUGGGGACCAGCUCUUCUCUUGCAGUUCUUGAGAACUUGGGUUGUUCAUUCAUGGAGAUUGGAGUAUGGUUCAUUCCAUGAUCUUCUCCGGCCUGAGAGCAACGUGGAAGCGGAAGAGGAAGGCCUGUGGAUGCCUGCCAUAUGCUAACUAUUGAAGUAGAAGAGGAUGCAAAUAUUGAUGACAUCAUUGAAAUUUUCAGGAAGCUUAUGACUCACAGGCCAAGAACUCUCGGGGAGAUUCCCAUAGAAUUCCUCCAGAAUAUUGGACAAAGGGCAAGUGCUAGCAGACAGUAACAUCAGUCCACCUGCUCCUUGGCCUGCCUGAAUGAUCAUGGCCCAAUGAAAAUCAUGCAAGGUUUCAAGAGCACAAAACUAAACACCAAACUGAGAUUUGGGAGCCCAGGGCAUUGCCUCACUUGUUAGCUGUGAACCCCUGGACAUGUUCCUUUAAAAUCAUGGGCUUAUUUUUCCAUAAAAUGGAGAUAAUACCCUUCCAUCCUGAAACAAGGGUAAAAUUAUUUCAGUGAAAGAUCCUUUAUAAGUUUAUCAGACACUGAAGAAAGAUGUUCAUAUCAUUUUCUACACCCUCAGCCCUGAUGCUGAGCACACUCUUUCUCCUUAUUAAGCUUCCUGCUUUUUUGUCUCUUUUCUUCCAAAAUAAAGAUUGAUGCCUUUUUCUUUCCUGC